AGCAGCCGCGGUAAUUCCAGCUCCAAUAGCGUAUAUUAAAGUUGUUGCAGUUAAAAAAGACUCGUAGUUGAAUUUCGGGAUCAAUCUGUUGGUCGUGCCUUUGGUACGUACUAGCUUAUUGAUUUCUCCCUUCUGACGAACCACGAUGUCAUUAAUUUGGUGUCAUGGGAAAUCAGGACUGUUACUUUGAAAAAAAUUAGAGUGUUUAAAGCAGGCUCACGCUUGAAUACAUUAGCAUGGAAUAAUGAAAUAGGACGUUUUGAUUCUAUUUUGUUGGUUUCUAGGAUCGACGUAAUGAUUAAUAGGGAUAGUUGGGGGCAUUAGUAUUCAAUUGUCAGAGGUGAAAUUCUUGGAUUUAUUGAAGACUAACUACUGCGAAAGCAUUUGCCAAGGAUGUUUUCAUUAAUCAAGAACGAAAGUUAGGGGAUCGAAGACGAUCAGAUACCGUCGUAGUCUUAACCAUAAACUAUGCCGACUAGGGAUCGGAUGAUGUUAAUUUUUAAUGACUCAUUCGGUGCCG
rnacentral:rRNA from 1 species